rnacentral:lncRNA from 1 species
UAUCUUUUCUCUAGAUCAGAUGUUUUCUAGGAUUCCUUUGUUGUUUAUGUUACAUAUCUUUCAACGAUUUCAGAAUUACACGGAAUAUCUUCACGUUGUGCACAUUUUAACAAUUCACUUUUUGUUGUAUCAAAUAUUAGAGGAGUUUAAGUUAAGUAAUUUUCAGGAUUUAUAUUCAAGUUAAUUAAAUGUAGGUAACUAAUUAGAUGUUAAUUUAGAAGAUCUUUUGUUGGAAAAAAUUGUCCGACUUGUCCCAUUUAUCUUCUAGGAUGAUGUCAACUGGUUUGAAUCGAACAAGGCACGUAUAAGGACAAAUCUGGGAUAAGCAAAACAAGAAAUUGUCUUAAAUAAGACCAAUUUGAAAUCCUCUAAAUCUACAAUUUUAUGUUCAAGUCACUUUGAGGAUAAUUGUUAGAAAACUCUCUGAACUGAGCGACCUCACCUAAAAAAAAGAUGCUUCUCCAACCAUUUUCAAAGGAAUUCCAGAACUUUUCAGAAAGAAAUCCAGCAAAAGAGUUCACGGCGUUCCUUACCCAAACGAAUGUCUGAUAAAUGAGAGAAAAAAUUGCUCCAAGAAAAGGAAAAAAAUAAGGCAGCAAGAAUUACUAUAAAAACUUGCUAAAUUUGUCAUCAUCAAUUUUUAUUAUUAUAGUGGCAAUGUUAAGACACUCCAAAGAAAAUGUAGAAAGAAUGGAGCUUUUGCAAAAAAAAAAAAAAACUGAAAAACCAACAAGACAAGACUUCCAAAUUUAGGAAGAAAGUUAGUUCUGUAAAGGAAGUAAUUGAUGACCUAAGUGAGCAGAAGUAUGUCACGCAAGGAGCAAAGGAUAUUCUUUAAGAAUUUAAUGAAACUGCAAUGCCAGAUUUACUUUUCCAUCGCAAAAAAACCAAAUAAAUUGAUCAAUCAACAUAGUAGAGAAGCUUAUUCUCUAGAAAUGCAAAAAUUUGCCACAACUCUUGCUUUCUAUAGCAUGAAAGCCUCUGAAUAUGUACGAAAACUUUUAAUUUUGCGUUGCCAACCACAUUAAGAAAUUGUUAUUAAUGCCGUUAAUGCUGGAUUGACUGAGGAAUCUUUUUCUCAGAAGAAAAAAUCAUUUGUACUCGUUUAUUGCAUGAAAUUGCAAUAAAAAAGCACAUAGGGUAUGAUUUGACACGUUAUCAUGGAUAUGUAGACCUUGUACCGAUGCAUCAAAAUCAGCAAGAAUCGGUCUUUUUUGAAGUAUCGGAAUCGGCUCAAUACUGCCAAUUCUAACGAUAUCUAUGCAUGAUUAUUAAUAUACAUAACAUGACUUAUUUCAGCUCAUUUUAGGGCACAAAAUUAAGGUUACAAAUCAAUAAAUAUAUAGACUACA